rnacentral:rRNA from 1 species
GAUGAACGCUGGCGGCGUGCCUAAUACAUGCAAGUCGAGCGAAUGGAUUAAGAGCUUGCUCUUAUGAAGUUAGCGGCGGACGGGUGAGUAACACGUGGGUAACCUGCCCAUAAGACUGGGAUAACUCCGGGAAACCGGGGUUAAUACCGGAUAACAUUUUGAACCGCAUGGUUCGAAAUUGAAAGGCGGCUUCGGCUGUCACUUAUGGAUGGACCCGCGCCGCAUUAGCUAGUUGGUGAGGUAACGGCUCACCAAGGCAACGAUGCGUAGCCGACCUGCGAGGGUAAUCGGCCACACUGGGACUGAGACACGGCCAAGACUCCGACGGGAGGCAGCAGUAGGGAAUCUUCCGAAAGGGACGAAAGUCUGACGGAGCAACGCCGCGUGAGUGAUGAAGGCUUUCGGGUCGUAAAACUCUGUUGUUAGGGAAGAACAAGUGCUAGUUGAAUAAGCUGGCACCUUGACGGUACCUAACCAGAAAGCCACGGCUAACUACGUGCCAGCCGCCGCCGUAA